AAACGUCAAGUCUGUCAUAAUCUGGAUCGAUCUGAUGACUGGUACGUUCCCCUAGCCGCGGCGCUGCAUCCCGGUGCUUCAUCGACAAUCAGUAAGCCGUGGCAGCGGACAUAAAUGCUAGUUAUGGUGGAGUUUUUAACGGAACAUAUCGCGUAGUCGGAAACUAAAUGAGGCCAUUCAUUUGGCAGCAUCAAUGGCGGGAAGUGGUCCGUUAGUCAUUGGAUAACUUACAUUCGUUGAUGCAAAAAGUGGUAGUGGCAAGGAAAGAGGAUGAAUCAAUUGCGGGUAAUAUUUCUAGGAGUUAUCAUGGUUUGUUUGGUUGUAUUGACAACACAAUGGGAAGACCCCGAUGAAAUGAUACAAGCGUCAGCAAUGCGUUCCAAGAAGUACCGCGACUGGCACUACAAAGAUUUAGAGGCAAAGUGCACCAGGAAUAUCCACUGUAUCCAUACGGGAUUCUGCGACGAAGCCAAGGGCAAGUGCUGCGCGCCGCACGGGUACGCGUGCAUCAGCAGGGAGAACUGUUGUAGCGAGAAACAUGUUUGUGGUGGGAGAUAUGCAAAGUCCUGUAUCAAUCCUCCGCCGCCAAAUUAAUGAGGACUAAAGAGUCAGCUUUAUUUACACUGGUUUUUUUCUAGGGGGAUGAUAUUUGGUGAAGGACGUACACUGUUACCCCGACGGGUUUCUUCCACGCCGACAGGUAAUCAAAAGUGUCAAUGCUUCUAUGGGAAUAGGCGUUGUACACAUGUAUAUCUAAUGACAACUCUUGCAGUGAAGAACUCAUCGGUGGAAUUACUUGUAAUGCUUCUGGGAUGAUGUUCUUAAUACGGCUUAGUUGAGGAGUUUGUCGGUGUAGACGUAUUAGAAAUGUGAAUGUGUUCGGACAUUAUUAAAAAGGCAAAUCAUUUGCCGUAACACUAAUAGGUGCUAUAUUUAAAUCCAUGCAAUACUUGUAUGUGACAUGAUAAGAGGAUUUAAAUAACGGUUUAAUGUUCGUCUUGUGGUGAACUUUGGUCAAAUAAAGAUAUCGUUGAUUCUGUAA